GUCACAAAAUAAAAAAAAUAAAAAAAAAUCGCCGCUCACCGGUCGCGGAAAUCCCCAAAACCUCUAUAUCCCCUUCCUCUUCACCGACUUGCUUCUCGGCUUCGUCUUGGAUUUGCUUACUCUUCGAGAAGCUUCUAGAACAUAAAGGACCUAGGCAGGGAGCCCAAUCUACCGUGCCAAGUCUUCCACUCCUGCUUCUUCCCACCAGCCGGCGGCACCGGCAAGAGUUGGCCGCCGGCCGCCGCGUCGGGGAAGGAGGCGGCGCCAUUUGCUAACCACUCCGCCCUGGCCUCAAAUCCAAGAUCCACAGAUUUGGUGCUCGCCACCUGUUCGACGUAAUGCCGCACCCGCGACCGCGAGGCGGGGGUGAUCGGCUUGGCGCCCUCCCGGACGAGGCCCUGCAGCACGUGCUGCCCUUCUUGCCGUUGCCGGAGGCCGUGCGGACCGGCGCGCUCGCGAGGCGCUGGCGCCACCUGUGGAAGUCCAUGCCCGUCCUGCGCAUUACCGGCGAGGGGAGGGUGCUCAACCGGAGCGGCGUCAGGAGGCUGAACAGAUUCGUGAACCACCUGCUGCUCCUCCGUGACCGCAGCGCGCGUCUGGAUGCGUGUGAGAUAAACCUCGGUACGUUCCGGAGCCAGGAUGAUCCACAAAUUAACCUGUGGAUUCGCCACGUGCUGCUGUGUGAAGCUCGAGACCUUCGGGUUCAUCUAAGCAUUGAUAACAACAGCUUUGAAAUGGAAAACCUGGCAUUAGUCUCCCGGCAUUUGACAAGAUUGGAGCUUUCCAAUGUGGUGCUAAAAGACCACUUCCUCAAUUUCUCGAGCUGCCCAGCACUUGAGGAACUAGUGACGAGGAAUUGCCAUAUUGAAGCUGAAGAGAUCUUGUCUGAAUCCCUGAAAUGGCUGACCGCAGUUGACUGUGUAUUUUCUUCCUAUCCCCGGACUCGAAUUUCACUCCCAAGUCUUGUCGCACUGGAGCUAACUGAGCCUUGGGGGAGCACUCCUGUUCUGGAAAGUAUGCCAUCUUUAUUAACGGCAUCUAUAAAACUCACUGACUGUGAUGACCAUUGUGGUAAAGAAGAAUUUGGGGGUUCAUGCGACGAUAAUGCCUGUGAUAAUUGUGGUGCUAAUGGGGGGAGCAGCGGAGAUUGCGUGCUACUUGAUGGUUUAUCAGAGGCUAAAAGCUUGGAGCUGAUAGCUAAACCUAGAGUGUUCAUAUUCAGAAGUGAUUUGAUGUGGUGUCCAACAUUUGGUAAGUUGAAGACGUUGUUACUCAAUGAGUGGUCUGUGGCAAUUGAUCUUGUUGAGCUGAUAUGCUUUCUGCAACAUACACCUGUUCUAGAGAAGCUGACUCUUCAACUUUGCGAGGGACCUGUCAAUUGGAUGGAAAAUGAAGGGAGCUACGACCCAACAGAAAAUCCGUUUGCAUCUAAGCAACUUAAGGUAGUUGAAGUCAAGUUUGAAAAGUUUGAUCUGAGAGUUCACAAAAUUAUAAUGAUCUUCAGUACCUAUGGCGUAAAUAUUGAGCAAAUCUAUAUCCAGCGAAGUGUGGUACAUUCUGAAGAGCCUACGGAUGAUUCAGGUGCUGGACCUUCUCGGGUUCGGACACCGCCAAUUUCCACGUCGGAGAAUGCUCAAUUGAAAAUCACGAUUGAUCAAAUGUUAGGUCAGCAACAGGAGUUACUGGCACAGCAACAGCAACAGCAGCAUUUCCUAUCCCAGUUGCAGCGGCGGCAGCAGAUCCUCUGUGAUAUCACAGCCCAGCUUUCGAAAUAUGCUGCUCCUCCCAUUUCUCAGAGGCCUCCACAAGCUAAUCUUUAUCCUUCAGGAAUAUAUUUCUCCAGCCCUACCAUAGGGUUUGGCAUAUAAAUCGCCCUAUGGUAGGGCGAGGAAUGUGACGUGGCACCCGACAAGAGGGGUCCCCCUGGAGGGGCGCUCCGUGCAUAUUUUACAAGCGGCCCCCUACUGGUGAUAAAUCACAUUAGUGAAGGGUGAGAAGGGGCCGCCUAGGGGGGGGGCUGCAAAAUGGCAUUCCCCACCAUAGGGGAGGGCGAUUUAUUCGCCCCAGCUAUAAAAGCCUCCCCUCCCCUUUGAAAAUCCCAUUUUCUUAAAAUCUAGUUUAAAAAAAAGAGGGGUAAGGGGAGGGUAAGAAGGAAGUGGCGGAGCCCUGCCGGAUUGGUUACUCGACUAGAGAUAUGUCAAGUAAGCUGAUAUUCGACUUUUAUUACGGUGAAGGCAAUGUUAGAUGUGGUCAGAAUGGGGUAGAUUUGUCUGAGUUCAAGUGUAUGGCUAGGGGCAUUGCUAGGGCUGCCAAAAGGAGUUUUGAGGCUGUAUGCAACUGGUUGAUAAGAGGCUUUAGAAUAGAUCCACAGACUCAUGGCCUUACAAUUUAUGCUAUGGUUAGCCGUGAACCCAUAGGCUAUUUUUGGGAACUAAUGCCUAUAGAUUGCACCGAUAUAUGGAGAAGAUAUGUGGAGAUGGCAUGCGAACGUUGUUGGCCACUUGCUAUUCUUGUUCAUGUGUACGAGAAGGGGAACACAUAGGAUGUGGCCAUGGGGGAUGACGAGGGACCAAUUAUUCCUAGUGAUGUGGGAAGCAUGGAAGUGGAAACGACAGAGAAAGGCAAUCAUGAACUGCAAGAAACCAUGGUGGCUGAAGAACGUGGGAAGGACGCUCAACCGGCGCGGAGUCAGGAGACUGAACAGGUUUGUGAACCACCUGUUGCUCCUCCGUGACCGUAGCACAUGCCUGAAUGCGUGUGAGGUAAAUCUCGGUGCGAUCUGGAGCCAGGAUGAUCCAUGUAUCAACCUAUGGAUUCGUCAUGCCCUUCUGUGCGAAACUCAAGCUCUACAGGUUCAUCUAAGCAUUGAUAGCGACAGCUAUGAACUGGAAGAUGUGGCUCUUGUCUCCCAGCAUUUGAUGAGGUUGGACCUUUGCAGUGUGGUGCUAAAAGACUACUUUCUCAAUUUUUUGUGCUGCCCAGUACUGAAGGAGCUAUUGAUGAGGAAGUGCUGUAUUAAAGCUCGCAAAAUCUCAUCCGAAUCCCUGAAACGGCUGACUGCAGUUGACUGUUCAUUUUAUUCAUAUCCCCGAGUACGAAUUUUUCUCCCAAGUCUUGUUGCACUGGAGUUAACUGGACCUCAGGAGAAUACUCCUGUUCUGGAAAGUAUGCCAUCUUUAUUAACGGAAUCUAUAGAACUCACUUACUGUGAUGAUCAUUGUGGUAAAGAAGAAUUUGGGGGUUUAUGUGACUAUAAUGCCUGUGACAGUUGUGGUGCUAAUGGGGGCAGCAGCGGAUAUUGUGCAUAUUUCUAUUUAAAGAUAUCAUUCAUGGAUUAUGAGUCAUUGAAUUUAUACUAUGUUGUUUCAUACAGCCACCUGUCAAUUGGAUGGAACAGGAAGGGAGCUAACAGAAAAUCUGUUUGCAUUUAAGCAACUUAAGUAAUUAAAGUCAAGUUUGCAAAGUUUGAUCCAAGAGUUCACAAAAUUAUAAUGAUCUCAGUGCCUAUGGCUUAAAUAUUGAGCAAAUCUAUAUCCAGUGAAUUGUGAUACAUUCUGAAGAGCCUAAGGAUGAUUCAGGAGCUGGACCUUUUCUACUUUGGAUUCCACCAAUCUCCCCCUGUGGAGUGCUCAAUUGAAAAGUACGAUUGGCAUAACCUGUUGCGUUAGUCAUUUUGACUAAAGGCCCGCAACAAGUCAUGCCGAACUCUACUGGUUCGACUGAUGGCGACACAACAAUGGGGGCCAGAGACAGCACCAGUCUACACCUCUACUCCUUCCGUCUAAAAAAAUAAAAAGCUAACCUAGGAGGGGAUGUUUUGGACGGAGGGAGUAGGCCAAUGACGAGGGGCUGCGAGCGGCCAGGAACAGGCUUGCUGGCGAUGAUGGGUGGCUAGUGGCUGGUGUGGACGGAGUGACAGACUCCUGUUAAGUGUGAGGGUAUAAUUUUGUUUUUGUCAAUAUUAUGCUAAGAUAAGUCAAAAUUGUAGUUACUUACAGGAUUAAAUGGAACCUAGAGAGGUUUAGAUGUUUUUCGCGUUAAAACAAUAAUGAAAUAUUAUGGUACAUAGUUGUCCACAUUAGAAUAAUAAUGAAAUAUUAUGGUA